rnacentral:rRNA from 1 species
UAAAGGAAUUGACGGGGCCCGCACAGCGGUGGAGUAUGUGGUUAAUUCGAUGCAACGCGAAGAACCUUACCUGGUCUUGACAUCCCGGAGACCCUUAGGAAACUAGGGGGUGCUUCCAUCUGGAAGAAUCUGGAGACAGGUGCUGCAUGGCUGUCGUCAGCUCGUGUCGUGAGAUGUUGGGUUAAGUCCCGCAACGAGCGCAACCCUUGCCUUUAGUUGCCAGCAGUUCGGCUGGGCACUCUAAAGGGACUGCCGGUGUUAAACCGGAGGAAGGUGGGGAUGACGUCAAGUCCUCAUGGCCUUUAUGACCAGGGCUACACACGUACUACAAUGGCCGAUACAAAGGGCAGCGACACUGCGAGGUGAAGCCAAUCCCGUAAAAUCGGUCUCAGUCCGGAUUGGAGUCUGCAACUCGACUCCAUGAAGUUGGAAUCGCUAGUAAUCGUGGAUCAGCAUGCCACGGUGAAUACGUUCCCGGGCCUU